GCGGGGCCGGGUGUGAAGGGAGGCAGGACCCGCGACGAGAGCACGGACCGGGCGCUGGAGACCCGCAGGCCCGGGGGUAGCGGGGAGUGCGGGGACACCUGGACAGGCGGCCGAGGCACGGGGAAGGACGUGCCGGGGGCAGGAGGACCCAGAGAGCCGCCUGGGGUGGAGCGAAGGGGAGCUCGGGGCUGGACCAGCGAUUGUUCCCCCGGGAAGGACCGGGAUCCUGAGAGGACUUGGGAUUUCUGAAGCGGAACACGCCCACGCGAGGAGCAAGGUGCGGGCCGGGCGGCCACGGUUCACGCUCCUCCUGCCCGGCCCCUCGGCAGCCCGGGGCCGAGGACCGUGAGGAGAAGCCCCGCCGCUCAGCCAUUAGAUCAGCAUUUUUCCGGAUGAGGAUGGCCCCUUCCAGAAAUGAAGGCCACAAGGAGCCCUCCAUCAAAUCACAGAGGACAUAAACGCUCUCCAUCUGGUGGGAGGAAGACAAUCCAGCUUCUCUAGUGUUUCUCAAAGAAGUCAUAUAUUUCUCCUGUUAAGGUGAUCAAGCUGCAUCAUGGCUCUCUUUGAAUUAUUUAUGUUGGAAUUGUGAAGGGUGAAAAAAAAAUAAUCAGUAAAGCAAGAAACUAUUACCAAGGGGAAACCAAUAAAAUGCCUGCAUGUAUGUGAGAAAAAGAAUGUUCAUGUUUGGUUAUACCAUGAAAUUUAUGAUCUUCAAGAAAAUUCAGACAGGUCCUGAAAGUUUCUAAAAGGUCCACAGAUGGAGAAGAGUUUUCCUCCAGGAUGGUCCAUACCCAGAAUUUCACUUGUACCUGAUUCAGAUGAUUUAAUGAUGAGAUUUGGGACUUUCGAGCUGAUGACAUUUAAAUGAGAUUUUUGAACUAGAGGUGAUGUUGUAAUGGGCUGAGAAUUAGGGGGAUGUUAAGGGUGAGGUGAGUGUGUUUUGUAUGUGGAACAGAUGUGAAUUUGCCAGGGGCUAGAGAGCAGAUUGUAGUGAGUUGAGUAGAGGCCUCCCCCGCAAAAAGAUAUAUCCAUGUCUUAACCCCAGGAGCCUUUUUUUGAUAAGAUGUCCUUAUUUAGAUAAAGGGUUCUUAUAGAUGUAAUAAAAUUCAGGAUUUCUAGGUGAGAUCAUCCUGGAUUUAAAGUGGGACUUUAAAACAAUGACAAGCAUCCUUAUAAGUGAAAAGCAGAGAAAGAUCUGAGAGACACAGAGAAGGCAGUAUAAAGAUGGAGGCCGAUAAUGGAGGGACGAAUCUACAAGCCAAGAAAUGUCAAGGACUGUGGCAAUCACCAGAAGCUAGGUAGAGGCAUGGAGCAGAUUCUCCCACAGAACCUCCAGUAAGCACCAAGUUUACGGACACCUUGGUUUCAGACUUUUGUCCUACAAAACUGAGAGAAUAGAUUUCUGUUGUUUUAAGCCACCUAGUUUGUGGCAACUUGUCACUGGUGUCAUGGGAAAUGAAUACAGAUUUCAUAUCCAGAAGAGGGAAGCUGCUGUAACGAAUGCCUUAAAAUGUGGGAGUGGCUUUGGAAUUAGUUAUUGGGAAGAGGCUUGGAAGAAUUUUGAAGUGCAUGAUAAUAAAGGCCUAGAUCCCUUUGAAGAGAGUGUUGGUAGAAAUAGAAACAUGAAAGGAGACUCUAGUGAGAGCUCAGAAGGGAGUGAAGUAGAUGAUGUGACUCAUGGAUUCAAUCUAAUCUCAGCAGAAGACAAGAGUAGAGAUAGUUAUCCAGGAAGGAUCGGUGAGGAACACUCUUAUCUAAUAGUGGAGACCCCAUGCCAGGCACAAAAUCAAAAGGAAUAGAGACAGGAUAAAAUGAAUAAGUGUUAUCAUAUCUUUUGGGGGCCAUUAUUCAACCCACUACACUGCAUCUUUUCCCUUCUCUAUUUUCUUUUAGAUUCCCUAUUAGAUGAGUAUUUUAUCUUCUGGAUAUAUCUUCCCUAUCUUAGAAGUUUACUGAUAUUUUUCAUCAUUUUAUUCUUUGU